GAUCCUGGCUCAGGAUGAACGCUAGCUACAGGCUUAACACAUGCAAGUCGAGGGGGCAGCAUGAACUUAGCUUGCUAAGUUUGAUGGCGACCGGCGCACGGGUGAGUAACACGUAUCCAACCUGCCGAUGACUCGGGGGAUAGCCUUUCGAAAGAAAGAUUAAUACCCGAUGGCAUAGUUCUUCCGCAUGGUAGAACUAUUAAAGAAUUUCGGUCAUCGAUGGGGAUGCGUUCCAUUUAGG
rnacentral:rRNA from 1 species